GUGUUUUGUUUGUUUUUUGCUUUUUAGGGCCGUGCCUGCAGCAUAUGGAAGUUCCCAGGCUAGGGGUCGAAUCAGAGUUGUAGCCACCGGCCUACACCACAGCCACAGCAAUGUCAGAUCUGAGCUGCGUCUGCUAACUACACCACAGCUCACGGCAACGCCGGAUCCUAACCCACUGAGCAAGGCCAGGGAUUGAACCUGCAGCCUAAUGUUUCCUGGUCGGAUUUGUUUCUGCUGCGCCACGACGGGAGCUCCCAGAGUAGGCUUUAAUGAUCCGUCUCAGCUGAGGCCUUCUUGUUGUUCUGCUCGGAGCAGGGGAGCAGGUAUCAGGGGCUCCUCGUCCAGCCUGCCACUUCCUAGGGAGGGUGGGGGACCUCCUGGGCCCUGUGCCCCUGGAGCCCAGGCCUUGUCCCAUCCUCCCGUCUCAGCCAUGACUGUGGGAGGUGGCACAAUGAAGACACGGGUGAUGGCACCAGAACGGGCCGUGUUAGGGCUGGUGCUUGGAAGUGCCCUUGGUUAAAGGGCAGAGUCCUGGCGCUUGGCAGCCCACGUGGAGAGGAGUGGUUUGGUCUGCUCCGUCAGCAUCCGCGGUGACCACGAAUGACAGGAAUGUCACUCACGGAGGACCUGGCGCCCUGGCCACAUCGGCACACGGACGGGGGGAGUCCAGCAAAGGCCCCUCUGAGAGCUGCCCCUCCUUGGGGACCCUCCCACUCUCGGGGGUGGCUGAGGGGCACGGGCCAGGGGACCCUGAGGGGAGCGGGGAAGCGGGCGCAAGGGUCUCCACCUGGCCGAGGACCCGCCGUUCCUGGGGUCUGCUCACGGGGGCCACCAACUCCUCCUUCUGGGUGUAUCAGGGCUGCACGGGGACCCCCAGCUUGGGUCUUGUCUGCUGUGGCCUCUGCUCUGUGCUCCGGGCCCACUGCACUCUGCCCUAGGGAGGGGGCAGCAGCCCCGCUCUGUCCCCGGGGCUCAGUGGCCACCUCACUGUGGACACUGCGCAGCCCCCAGAAAAGGGCUCCACAGAGGGAAACCCGCCGAGCUGCCCCGCACCCCGGCCCGCUCAUCCCCUGGGCCUCUGUACACCCUUUCCCCAAAUUCAGUCCCCACCCCGUGCACACGAGGCGCCCUCCCCUCCCGAGAGGAUGUCCGAACCGAACCCCCCGAGCUGUGACCCGCCACCGCGCGCAGGCCUCAUAGACCUCGGCGCCGCCUGGGUUCAGGUCACGUACAGUAAGAGACGGAGGCGGAGGAGCUGCUCAUGGAACCUGCAGAUCAGGGCCCGCUGGCUGCCCGGGGCUCGUGCUCCCUCGGAGCUCAGACGUGCCGGCCCUGAGCCAGCGGGUGAGCCCCCUCUUGUUCCUGAGCGGCCCCUCUGGGGUCGCACCCACACGGGCGUCCCCUCCACCCCGCCCCGGACGCGCUGAAGGCCCUUGGAAGACCUGGUUCCAGACACGCGCCUUGCUGUGCACAGAGCUGUGCCCCAAAUUCACAGGCUGAAGCUUAACCCCCAGUACGGCUGUGUUUUGAGGGAUUAGGGUUAAAUGAGGUCACCAGGAGAAGGGUGGCCGUGUAGGAAGAGGCCCAGGGACCUCCGUCUCUCCCCCCGAGGACAGAGGAGAUGGUGGCAUCUGCGGCCGGAAAGAGGUCUCCCCAGGAAGCAGAGGGCUGGCACCACGAACUUGGACGUCCAGCCUCCAGAACUGGGAGACUAAACGCCAGCUGUCUCUGCCGCCAGCCUGCAGCGUUUGCUGUGGUGGCCAAGCAGGUGCCGAGUGGGCUGGUGGUGCCCCCGCCUUGGAGUCCUUGGUGAUCAGGAGCCGGGCUCCAGCCGGCUGCCCUAUGGUUCAGAGGCACCAGCAGCCAGAGGCCCUAGCAGCACGAGGGACCUGCUGUGUCCCUGGAGGGCUCCCCCUCAGCUGCAGGGCGGGGACAGCAUCUCGCAAGUGUACCUGGAGCAGCGGUCAGCGCGCCAACCCGCACCGUCUUCACCCCCGUGGCUCCAGGAGGUCCCUAGUCGGCCGUGAUGGACGGCACGCCUGCCCAUGGGCACCCCAGGCCCUCAUUGAGUCCCCUCCCUGCCUCCGGGGACCUGAGCUCCCACGGGAAGGGUAGGGGCUGGAAAGAGCCCUCCACCUCCCUGCUGGGCUCUGGGUCUCCCUGGGCACUGAGCGAGGGCGCAUGUGUCCUCUGGUGCCAUCGGCAUCUGGGUAGCUCUGUCUGCAAAGCACCUCCCAGGCCACCUGGUUGUCGAUUUCUGGGUGGCCUUCCUUCCAGGUCGCCCAUCAGCCAAACCAAGAGCCGUGGCCCAGGGCCUGGCAAGUGGUUCCUCUGGACACUGCUCCUUCCACACAAGUGCACGGCCCGCCAGCGGAAAGGCUGUGUUACGCCUCCGAGAGACCCUUCUGUCUAGCCUCCUCCAGGAGCACCCACGUGGUCCUGCAGCAGCCCCCACCCCAGCGGGCGCCCACUGUGCAGAGAGGAACCGGGAGCCCUGAAGCCCCCGCGGUAAGAGGGUGGACUUGCUUGCUGGGCCCAAGGUGCAAGCUGGUUCCCUGAGGUGAGGGCUUCUUCCUACUGUGAGCAGCUGCCGCUCGUCGCCGUGUCCCAGCCGUGACCCGCACUCCUUCUGGGCACACAUCCUUGGGAAGCAUCCCCAGCUUAUCCUGGAGUCUGACUCUAGCCAGAGUCCGGAGGUUGAGCGGGCGAGGGGUGUCUGGAGAAACAGGGCGGCAGGUGGGGGCCCGAGGAGCCCCCCAGAGGAGAGGUGACAAUGCUCCCACCCCCCAGAUUCUUGGACAGCGACACUGUAGGCGUGAACACAAGACUGGUAGGCAAGCUCGGUGCUCAAGGGAGGAGGGAGGUGCCGGCUCUCGGGGGAGGGGCCGCAGGGGCCGGAUCAGCGGGGCUCCUCUCUGGGACUAGUCGGCAUCAAGGUGAAGUUUCCAGCACCAUCAGCCUUCUGGUUGCGACUGGUCCGGGCCCACGUGCUUGUAGCCUUUGUCUGGUGGGGCUGCUUCCCGCAGAGUCGCCUUAGGAUGCUGUGUUGCGCCCUCAUCUCCAUCUUUCAGGAUUUGGGAGUUGGGCGUUUCUGCUGGGUGACAUGUGCCUCCUGCCCCGGUCCUUUGGAAACCACAUACACACACUCACUCACACACACACACACACACACACACACACACACGUCAGCUUUGUCUGACCAGCCCCGCCAAGCCCACAUGCUCAAGGCUGCUCCCUCCAUCCUUUUUCCAAGGGGGAUGGUCUCUUGUCUCCCUGUCUCACCUGGAUGCCCAGGUGUCUGGAGCCAGGCAUCUGCAGGCUCUUCUGAUUCCACCCAAGGCCAUCUGGAUGGCAUAGACUUGGAAGCCAGUGAUAGCAACCCAGGUUGGGGCUCUGGGCCCACUGGUGAGGCCUGGUUCUGCCGCACGUGUUUGGGGUUCCUUUGGGGCUCCCCAGGCUGCCCUCGCGUCCCAUGAGCCUGCUGCCCGCUCAUCCUGUUUCCACGCGGAUUCCACCAAACAUUGCGGCCGUCUGCUCUCGUCUCACUUUUCUAUUUCUGCCCAACAAACCCCCAGCGCUUGGCAUUAAAACGGCUUCUUUCUUCCUUCAUGGUCAGAGCUCAGGAUGGCCUCAACAGAGGGCCCUGCUCCCUCGGCGGCUCUGGGCGUCACACCUGGGCUGGGCUGGACGGUCCAAGAAGGAC
rnacentral:lncRNA from 1 species